rnacentral:rRNA from 1 species
UGGGGAAUAUUGGACAAUGGGCGAAAGCCUGAUCCAGCCAUGCCGCGUGUGUGAAGAAGGCCUUUUGGUUGUAAAGCACUUUAAGCGAGGAGGAGGCUACCGAGAUUAAUACUCUUGGAUAGUGGACGUUACUCGCAGAAUAAGCACCGGCUAACUCUGUG